rnacentral:rRNA from 1 species
UACGUAGGGCGCAAGCGUUGUCCGGAUUUAUUGGGCGUAAAGAGCUCGUAGGCGGUCCGUCACGUCGGCUGUGAAAACCCGAGGCUCAACCUCGGGCCUGCAGUCGAUACGGGCAGACUAGAGUGCGGUAGGGGAGACUGGAAUUCCUGGUGUAGCGGUGAAAUGCGCAGAUAUCAGGAGGAACACCGGUGGCGAAGGCGGGGUCUCUGGGCCGUAACUGACGCUGGAGGAGCGAAAGCCGUGGGGAGCGAACAGG